rnacentral:rRNA from 1 species
AUUGAACGCUGGCGGCAGGCCUAACACAUGCAAGUCGAGCGGAUGAAGGGAGCUUGCUCCUGGAUUCAGCGGCGGACGGGUGAGUAAUGCCCAGGAAUCUGCCUGGUAGUGGGGGAUAACGUCCGGAAACGGGCGCUAAUACCGCAUACGUCCUGAGGGAGAAAGUGGGGGAUCUUCGGACCUCACGCUAUCAGAUGAGCCUAGGUCGGAUUAGCUAGUUGGUGGGGUAAAGGCCUACCAAGGCGACGAUCCGUAACUGGUCUGAGAGGAUGAUCAGUCACACUGGAACUGAGACACGGUCCAGACUCCUACGGGAGGCAGCAGUGGGGAAUAUUGGACAAUGGGCGAAAGCCUGAUCCAGCCAUGCCGCGUGUGUGAAGAAGGUCUUCGGAUUGUAAAGCACUUUAUGUUGGGAGGAAGGGCAGUAAGUUAAUACCUUGCUGUUUUGACGUUACCAACAGAAUAAGCACCGGCUAACUUCGUG